rfam:Paenibacillus sp. 1DrF-4 C1317, whole genome shotgun sequence.
AACCGCCGUAUACCGAACGGUACGUACGGUGGUGUGAGAGGUCGGCUACUCAACUAAUGGGUAGCCUCCUACUCGAU